CGUGCUCCCAUUGCUCAACAACAACCAACACACUGGUAUGCUAUUAACUGUUUCAUCUGAAAUUAGGAGAGAUUUAGUGGUUUAAAUUUCAUUUAGGGACAUGGAGAUUUCAGCUGAUGGCUAAUGUCUUCUGAAACUGAAUUAGAAGAACACGUACAUAAUUUGAGUUUGAGCUUAACUAAAAGGACAAGAGUUUCAGUGAAGUCUGUAGCAAAGAAACCUAAACUCAGUCUGAUUUAUGUUCUUGGAAUGGUGGAGAGGCGUGUGAUGAGAGCAUAGAAUAUACCGUCUGAAGAAAAAUGGUAUGCUUUCAGUGAGAAGAAAUGCCAACCCUAUAAAUGGAGAUUCUGUACUGCCUAAUGUUUUGAAGACUAUAUGAAAAAGCACAGUGAAAAAUUUCUCCAUGUGGAAAAUGAAAUGCCUUGACAAAUGGGAAAUAGUUAAUUCUUUAUAAAGUAUACAACCUCUGCUGACAUAAAAGAUCUUUUAUUUUAUUAACUUUUGAGUUUGUUUUAAUCGUGGUAUGAAAGGAGAAAAAUCCUUUUGGAUUUGAUGAAGGAAGUAUUGAGAAUUCAGGCAUGUAUUUUUAGCUGAAACAUUAAAAACACAUCCUUUUUUGGUGCAAUCUAUUGUCUAUUUAGGUUUUUUAAUUGUUACUUUAAUAUUUUUAUAUCUGAUAAUGUGGAAAAGAUCAUAAAUAGAAAAUUUGUAAACUGACUGAGAAACUCUCUUGUAGAUAUAUGUGACAUUCUAUGCACAGAUUUUGCAGGCUUUGUUUUUUGAAAUAACUGAUCUGAAAAUAUGGCAGUAAACUUUUCUUUCUAAAACUGUUAGAUAUUCUGUGUGUUGCUGACAUUAUUGCAAUGUUUAUCUAGAGAGAUAGAUAAACCAGUCACCCAACUGUCUCCUGACCUUGAUCUUGGGUACAAAAUCCUGAAAAAAAUGUUUCAGUUUCUUGUACUAUCUGAGAGUUUAUAUAAUGAAGGAGGACAUUCCUUUUAGUCCUUUGCUUCGCUGUUGCUUUUAUGGUUGACCUCUGCUCUUCUUGCCUGCUUUACUUCCAUUAAAGAGGAAGUAAAAGAGCCCUGAAAGAAAAGGAGGAGGUUAUCGUGGAAGACUGAGUUCCA
rnacentral:lncRNA from 1 species